UACGUAGGGUGCAAGCGUUAAUCGGAAUUACUGGGCGUAAAGCGUGCGCAGGCGGUUUAGUAAGACAGGCGUGAAAUCCCCGGGCUCAACCUGGGAACUGCGCUUGUGACUGCUAGGCUAGAGUACGGCAGAGGGGGGUGGAAUUCCACGUGUAGCAGUGAAAUGCGUAGAGAUGUGGAGGAACACCGAUGGCGAAGGCAGCCCCCUGGGCCGAUACUGACGCUCAUGCACGAAAGCGUGGGGAUCAAACAGG
rnacentral:rRNA from 1 species